GGGCCCGCACAAGCGGUGGAGUAUGUGGUUUAAUUCGAUGCAACGCGAAGAACCUUACCAGGGUUUGACAUCCUGCGAACCUCUUGGAAACGAGAGGGUGCCUUCGGGAACGCAGUGACAGGUGGUGCAUGGCUGUCGUCAGCUCGUGUCGUGAGAUGUUGGGUUAAGUCCCGCAACGAGCGCAACCCACGUCUUUAGUUGCCAGCAUUUAGUUGGGCACUCUAGAGAGACCGCCGGUGAUAAACCGGAGGAAGGUGUGGAUGACGUCAAGUCAUCAUGCCCCUUACAUCCUGGGCUACACACGUGCUACAAUGGCCGGUACAAACGGUUGCGAACCCGCGAGGGGAAGCUAA
rnacentral:rRNA from 1 species